GCGACCCAGGAUGGGCGGGAU
rnacentral:rRNA from 1 species